AAAAAAAGAAAAAUCUAGUAAAGUAACUACUAGAACCAAAUAGGCUUUCUACACAUGCAUCGUCUAAAACAACGAUUUUUAUCAGCUGUAGCAAAGAAAGAAACUUCAUAGAAGUCAAAAUAGGAAAAAAUAAAAAUGCCUAGCAACUUUUUUCUAUGGAUAUAAGGCUUUAAUUGAUAGAGAUAGAGGAAGCAAGGUGAAUGCCGAUAAAUUACAAAAUUAGGCCUGACUUAAGUUUUUUGGAGAUGGACAUGCGCGGCCGUGCAUCUGGGUGUAUGACCGUGCAUAUGCUUGCGCACAUCUACCAGUUCAUCUAUGAUACUUGCGCUCUCAUGCGCGUGGUUGGGGAUUCUCGUGCGCGUCCACAUAAGAGAAGUUCCUCCUCUCCCAGCUUUGUUUCCUUCCUCAUCAUGCAAUUAUUUGUCCCGUGAUCCCCUCCGCACCGCCUGGACAGAAAAGCAAAAUAUUGGACAAUAAUCAGACUAAAUAUCUAGAAAAUCAACAAAAUCAAGGCCACAAAUCGAACAUAAAUUUGAGAUUUUAAGCUCAUCAAACACCCUACACUUAUAUUUUGCUUGUCCACAGAAAAUCUAUUACUAAACUACUCCUUACACUGCAACUUCCUUAGACAAAUGGACAAACAGAAUUAACUAGAUCGAAUUAUGUGGUCAGUUUCAAC
rnacentral:lncRNA from 1 species